UACAGAGGUCUCAAGCGUUGUUCGGAUUCACUGGGCGUAAAGGGCGCGUAGGCUGCGGGGCAAGUCGGGUGUGAAAUUUCGGAGCUUAACUCCGAAACUGCAUUCGAUACUGGCGUGCUUGAGGACUGGAGAGGAGACUGGAAUUCAUGGUGUAGCAGUGAAAUGCGUAGAGAUCAUGAGGAAGACCAGAGGCGAAGGCGGGUCUCUGGACAGUUCCUGACACUGAGACACGAAGGCUAGGGGAGCAAACGGG
rnacentral:rRNA from 1 species